UACGGGGGGGCAAGCGUUGUUCGGAAUUACUGGGCGUAAAGGGCUUGUAGGUGGCCAACUAAGUCAGACGUGAAAUCCCUCGGCUUAACCGGGGAACUGCGUCUGAUACUGGAUGGCUAGAGUUUGGGAGAGGGAUGCGGAAUUCCAGGUGUAGCGGUGAAAUGCGUUGAUAUCGGAAGGAACGCCGGUGGCGAAAGCGGACUGCUGGACCUUUUCUGACGCUGAGGCGCGAAAGCCAGGGGAGCGAACGGG
rnacentral:rRNA from 1 species